rnacentral:ncRNA from 1 species
ACAAAGGCUCUUUUAAGAGCCACCUAAAAACUCACUUUAAAAGUGG